UCCGAACAACCCUGUGCUCUGAUACUAUUUGUUGGGGAAUCCCUCACAAAUGUGAAAUAUGGAUCUCCGCCCAAGAUCGCAACAUCGAUGACGAUGUUGAUACCAUAAAAGGAUGAAGAAAGAAGUACAAAACACAACUAAAGAACAUGGAUUAGCUCAAGACCUACUUCUACGGGAUAUGCAAACUUCACUAUGAGAAAUUCAUAAAUACAAGAGAAGGAACACUUACUUUCAACUCUCAUACAUUAAUCUCUUGAUAAGAAGCACACAUCCCUCACAAAAACUCUCAAAACUCUCAAAGAGACACUCCAGCUGCCAUAAACUCCACCAC
rnacentral:lncRNA from 1 species